rnacentral:misc_RNA from 1 species
UUUCCGUAGGUGAACCUGCGGAAGGAUCAUUAAAGAGAAUACGCCCCUCGGGUUGGAUCUCCCACCCCCUGCUUCUAAUACCUUUGCGGCGCUGGCAGGGCCGCCUUCGGACCACCGGCUUCGGCUGGUCAGUGCCUGCUUGAGGACCCAGAGCCCUUAUUAUUAAUGUCGUCUGAGUACAAUAUCAUAGUUAAAACUUUCAACAACGGAUCUCUUGGUUCUG